GAAAACAACAAACCUAUAUCCUGAUUUUACACGAUGCGCCCAUUCCCUGCUACAACAAAGUCUUUCCCCAAAGGCAUCUCCUUUAAGAUGCUGGAUCCUGACCGGGCCUGGUCCACAAUCUCUUGGCUUCAGCCUCUCCACUGCAGCCAAGUUCUACACGGGGUUACAUUGCAGCCCCUCCAACAACAGCCCUAAAGCAUCUUAAUAUCUCUCUCUCUGUCUGAAGUACUUUCAUACAGGUCCACUGCAGGGUCAUAAUGCCCGAGGGAUUUGUCCACAGAGAGGCUAACAGGCUAACUGGGUCCAUUAUUUUGGACACAGAUUGAUGAAUGAAGUCUUUUGAGUGGAGCAGCUUCAGCACCACAGACAGCUCCCUGACCUGCAGAGUUGAAGAGCCUGCAGCUCUGAAACUCAAGCUUUUAAUGUUUUUAUUAUCUGAUGACAGAGAAAUAAAGUGGAACCAGAACUCCA